CCCCACCCCCUUUUCUUCUAAAAAAAACCUUUCACAAUUUUUUUUCUGUUAUAAUGCAUUUCCCAGACAAAAUAGAUAAAGAAUAAAUUAAUUUGCUUUUCAUUUUAAAUCUUUUGGGUUUGGCUUAGUAAAAUUAAAAUAAUUCCGUAUUUUUCUCCGGGCCGGUUUUGUCUUUUAUCGGAUGAAAAUAUACGUCAAUUUUGACGUCACUGCUGCAGCAGACGUGUUGGGUGUUUGGAAAAGGCAAGUGAUCUCCUAACAAUAAUAUUUUAAAGACUUUUGAUUCAUAUUGUUUAAAUAUAAUUUCAUUAUUGUUACAGGUGCGUAUGAACUCUCUAUAUACUCUUAUCACUUGCAUCAUGCAUGUAAUUGUUAAAUCAAUGCAUUUCGUAAACCUAACGUUCGUGAUCUGUAAGUAAGUUUGGAUAAAAUUUGUUUCUGAAUGAAUGUAAACAUUACAUGUUAGGCUAAAGGCAUUACUACUUUUUAAAACUUGAAUUUAUUUUCGUUUUGUUACGUACUGAUAUGAAAGUGAAAGUAGAAACCUUGUAUGUCAGUUGGCGUUAUGUAUGUUGAGAUCGUUAUCAAGUCCGGAUUCCUUCUUAAACUUAAUGACAAAUGUUUGAUUUUAUGGCAUAUAGAUGUAUUCGGCAACUUGAGUUCAGUGUCACAGUGCUGUUUUUUAUUUCUGUCCAAAGAGCCCGAAGCUGAUAAGACUGGCGAUUGAUCCUGAAGCUGAUUUGACAGACGAUUGCAUCAUCACAAUAUUGAAGGUUCAAUAUACAGUAAGCCUCUCGUAAGAUAAAGAACAAAUCCCAAGAUCCAAGGCUUGCUUCAAAGUUAAGAGACCAUUCUGUGCCGCAAAGAAAUUGUUCAGGAAAAGGAGAAGUGGUGGAUAUUCAUUUUUGGUACGGUACAGUUCAAAGAGAUUUUCAAAAUGGUCAUGGAAGAUCAAAGGGAGGACAACUGAAAAAACUGAAAGAUACAGAAGGAAAAAGAGCAAGGAAAUAUAUGGAAUAAUUAUGAAAUGGGGAGGAUGUACACAAUCUUGUCUGAAUUUGACCUGAGAAGAUUUCCCAUAUUGUAUGCUGGAAUAAUCAAUAACUUGAUUUUUCAUAAAUUUACAAUAGAGAAUACAUGACAAAUGUUAUUGCUGAUAUUUCAAUGUUGCUUUGGACACUUUCAUGUCAUAUGGUAUUUUUAUACAUUACCUAAUUAUGUUAUUCAUUUGUACAUGUACAGUAUACAUGUUUAACUACUAAAUCAUUUUGCUGAAAUCUUAUAAUUUGUACUCAUGUUAGAAUGUGUUUAAUACAUGUAUCGACAAAUGCUACUGACUUGUUUGUAUAUUUUCUUGUUUAGAAUGUACACUGUGAAAAAUAAGUUAUUUCUCUUGAUGAAAAUAAUUUUAUCAAAAAAGUUGUGUAAGCAUUUUAAGAUAUUUUAAAAUAUUUAACCAAUGAAGAUAGAUCAUUGUAAUGUAAUGAAUUUUCAUCUAAAGCAGAAAUAUCUGAUUUUUAAAUGUGUACAAGAAUGUGAAAAAUAUUG